UACGGGAGGCAGCAGUGGGGAAUAUUGCACAAUGGGCGCAAGCCUGAUGCAGCCAUGCCGCGUGUAUGAAGAAGGCCUUCGGGUUGUAAAGUACUUUCAGCAGUGAGGAAGGUGGAUAUGUUAAUAGCAUAUUCAUUUGACGUUAGCUGCAGAAGAAGCACCGGCUAACUCCGUGCCAGCAGCCGCGGUAAUACGGAGGGUGCGAGCGUUAAUCGGAAUUACUGGGCGUAAAGCGCAUGCAGGUGGUUUGUUAAGUCAGAUGUGAAAGCCCCGGGGCUCAACCUCGGAAUUGCAUUUGAAACUGGCAAACUAGAGUACUGUAGAGGGGGUAGAAUUUCAGGUGUAGCGGUGAAAUGCGUAGAGAUCUGAAGGAAUACCGGUGGCGAAGGCGGCCCCCUGGACAGAUACUGACACUCAGAUGCGAAAGCGUGGGGAGCAAACAGGAUUAGAUACCCUGGUAG
rnacentral:rRNA from 1 species